AUGGCGGGGACCUCCGGAGCCCAGAUCUCCUCCCGUCGGGCGGCUAUCCGACCGAGGGCCCUUCGCGAUCCGCGCCGCCCCUGCCCUUCCUCCAACAUCCGAUCCCACACCCAAUCAGCUGGACGCAAGCGAAAAUACUCGGUGGCCAUCGACGUGGAUCCCGUCCGUGACUGGGCGAACAUCGGGGACGGGCCCGCCGGCCUGAUCGCCGAGCUUGCCCUCGCCAGCGACGUGGCCGACUAUGUCCGCUUCCGCGCCGUGUGCCGGCCGUGGCGGCGGUGCUCGCCGGACCCGUGCGCCGGCGGCCUGGACGGCCGCUUCCUGCCCCGCAAGUGCAUCAUGCUUGACAAGGCGCUUGCCAGGCCCCGCCGACAUCGCUUGCUUAAUGUGUCUACAGGCGAGUGCAUACGGAUGGACCUCCCGGAGCUCGCGGAGCACACGUUGCUCGCGCUCACCCCAGAAGGCCUCCUCCUCCUGCUCCUCAAGUCCACCCUGGUUGUCCGCCUGCUUAACCCGCUCACACGGCAGCUCACCGACCUUCCGCUGAUGACCGCUCUCCUGAGACCAGGGCAGCAUCGGUCCAGGCAAUGUGGUGUCGAGAUAGGAAGAACAAUAAAUGUGUCCGGCGUGGGUCUUGUUGCCGACGCCUCCAUGGUGGCAGUCAAUUUCUUUGAUCCCAGGGGGCUUGUCGUCGCUAAGCCCGGCGAUGAGAGUUGGACCAUGGUCGACAAGGAAUACAUGAAUUCGGUUUUGCCUUUUGCGGGGCGCUUCUACUGCGCCAACUACAGGGGCGUCAUGGUGCUGACGACCAGCUCGGAUCAGCAGCCGCCCCGGCUCCAGUUGGUCGCUGACCGGAGCGACUCAUUUGAUUUCUACCGGAUGGCGCACAGCCUUCACCUGGUGGACAAUGGCGGGGAGUUGAUGCUGGUGCACCGAGCGCUAAGCCUGGACGGCGAGUAUGGCAGGAGUUAUGAUGCUUACAGAGUGGAUUUGGAAGCUGGGGUCCUGGCCCCAGCCAAGGGCUUCAACGGGCGCGCCGUGUUCAUGGGCAUGUGCCGCUCAAUUUCUGUACCAGCUGAGGCUGCUUACCCCUCUGUCGCUGCUGAUACCAUCUACCUGGGACGCGAUUGUGGUGGCCAGAUUCAGGGGUACAAUAUCGCGGAUGGAAGCAUAUGCAGUCUGAUUGAGGCAGUAUGUCCGCAUAGUAUUGUGGAUUGUCUCCGCUGCUGCAUCCAGGGACUCGGCAAGCAACUUGCUUGA
rnacentral:rRNA from 1 species